GUGGGCGUAGCUCAGUUGGUAGAGUUCUGGAAUGUGGCUCCAGAUGUCGCGGGUUCGAGUCCCGUCGCUCACCCCA
rnacentral:tRNA from 1 species